UCCCUGGUGGUCCAGUGGUUAGGACUCGUUGCUUUCACUGACAGGGACCCAGGUUCAAUCCCUGGUCGGGGGA
rfam:TPA: Bos taurus chromosome 18, whole genome shotgun sequence.